UUUCCGUAGGUGAACCUGCGGAAGGAUCAUUAUUGUAUAACCGAGGUGCGAGGGCUGUCGCUGACCCGAAAGUCCGUGCACGCCCGAGUGCCCCCGCGCACGUCCAUCUCACCCCUAUGUGCACCACCGCGUGGGUCCCCCUUUGGCUUGUUCGGAGGGGGGCUUACGUUUUCACACAAACUUUGUAUGCAGUGUAGAAUGUAUUUUUUGUUUUUGCGAUCACGCAAUCAAUACAACUUUCAACAACGGAUCUCUUGGCUCUC
rnacentral:misc_RNA from 1 species